rnacentral:rRNA from 1 species
AUGCAUAUCAAUAAAAAACCGAAGCACGGUGGUUCGGUUAUGGGUCGGCAGAAAAUUUGGAGAGAUAGGAUUGAUGCCCAUAACAGAUUGAUGAAGAACUAUUUCGUGGAGAAUACCACAUACCUGGAGUCGUAUUUUCGUCGCAGGUUUAGGAUGAGCACCGACUUGUUCAGGCGCAUUGUAGAGAAACUAGCGAGCCAUGACCGGUUUUUCCAGCAAAGGAGGAAUGCCCCCGGAGAGCUCGGGCAUAGCACCUUUCUGAAGGUGACAGCCGCUUUGCGUAUGUUGGCAUACGGUAUCCCGGUUGAUCUAGUUGAUGAUCACUUGGCUAUGGGUGAGAGCCAAGCCAUCAUGUGUGUCAAGCGCUUUGCAGUGGGAAUUGUGCAAGUGUUUGGCGAGGAGUAUUUGAGAUCUCCACUGCUGAAGACGCCGCAAGGCUAUUGGCGAUGA